rnacentral:lncRNA from 15 species
AGACAGAAGAGUUUGAGUUUCUCCGAGUGCAGACUGCAGAGAGCCUCUGAAGAUCUCUGAUCUCUCUCCUGUAAGAAACUCUCACACAGGUUCUUUAAAGUCAGGCUUAAAAGUGGCUGAUCCUUCGAAGAUCUUCUUUUACAAACUGGACACUCACGUUUGUUUCUCCUUCCACCAGCUCUUCAGACAGUCUUUACAGAAGCUGUGGCUGCAUGACAGAACAACAGGAUCUCUAAAGACCUCAUGACAGAUCGUACAGCAGAAAUCCUCCUCUAAUCUGGAAGCCAUUUGUCUCUGAGUGCAGCUGGAAACAGCAGACAACACGUUAAACAGCGGCGCCGUUACCAUCAGCGGUGACCGCCACUUCUCCAUGUGGGGGAUUUAUUUUUGCAUCUGCGCUCCCAGAAUGCACCUCUCCCAUCAGACUGGCUGUCUCUGAGCCAACCGGACCAGGUCUGGCCUUCAGAAUCCACCUCCACACCGCCGUCUCUGAGGGUUUGUGGCGGCGAGCUGCAGCGAGUGGGUGCAACUGCAGCGUCUGUUCCGCUCUGUGGUCAGACGGGGGGGAGGAGGAUGCUGCCUCCCCCCCCUGCACAGUCACUUCCUCUGAGAGAGAGAAGGGAGGAAGGAGAGGUAAAGAAAAGAUAGAGAGACACAUAGAAAGAGUGGAGAAGAGAGAGAAAGAGAGAAGGAAGCCAUUUUGGUUCCUCAGUGGCCUGCACUCUGCUUUCUUCUUUCUGGUUUCUUUGCUCUGGAGAGACUCUCGGAGAGGCGAGCGGAAGGAGCGAGGAGCGAGGUCGAACGGGGGAAGCAGGACGAGGCUGCGAGGCUGAAAAAGUGUCCGUCGCUGACUCAGAUGGUCGUCUGCUCUCGGCAGUGUUCGGUUUGACAGCAGCUGCACGGACGUGGUGUCUUUAAGGAGGACGCAGGAUGAGCUCGGACCGGGUGCCGUCCAGGUCUGAGGUGAUGGGGUGGAGUCCGCAGCAGCUGGCAGACUACCUGAAGAGGGUGAGACCUCCAGCCAGACUUCUCCUCUUUGUGUCUGUCGAGUUUGUUGAGCUUUGUGUGUCAGUAAAUGAACAGUGUGUAACAUUAAUGUAAUAUCUGUCGGCUUGUUUUCAUUAGAGUUUAAUCAGCUGACAAUAAGAAUCAUUGUGAAUGAGAGGUUUUUAUCUACGGAGGCAGCGGCUCCUCUGCUGGCGGAGUCCGCCAGGUUUGUACAGUAGAGUUUUGCAGCCACUGUAGUUUCUGCUGUUCACAUUGUUUGAAGGAUCAAAGGACUUUAUAAAACACGCUGCUUCAUUAAGACCAACUGACUCUUCUUAAGCCCCGCCCCCUUUUUACUCUGUGCUCCAAUCACAGUUGAGCAAGCUCAAGUCAACUUCCUCCUUUCCUGUACUUAGAUAUGCUAUAUGCUAAGCUAAUCUAAGUUGAAAAGAUAAGCACAUUUUAAAGAUGGUUAAAAGAUAAAAGACACAUCUUAAGUUAACUAAUGUUAGCAAAAUGCUAAUUUAGCUUUUGUAGCUAAUCUACAUCAAUUGUUAGUUAGCUAGCUACUGAUUGCUAAUGUCAGCAAACCGUAGCUAACAGGUUAGCUAAUCUUCACCGUAGCCAGUUAUAUCUGUGGUAACUAUGGAGAUUAGCUGGUUCGGGUCAGUUUGCACAGGAUGACCUGAUUACUUUUAUUUGUUUACUUGAUAGGGACAGGACGUGUUAAUGAACAAGAACAUAAACAAUAAAAGAUGCAAACAUGCUGGAGUUAGCAACAAUGCUAGCGUGGCUAAUAUAAAUAAUAAUAUAAAUAAUAAUAAAUGAUUUUAUCCUGUAAUGUGCUGUUUUGCUGAUCUUUUAUCUAAGAUUAGAAAAUAUAUAUAAUACUUUUGGUACUUUAAAUAUAACAGAUUAUGAAGCCCUGUGAUUGGACGCGCUGCUGAAAUGCACCCUGGGAGUCGUAGUUGUCCACAGCCUUCUUUUAUAAAAUGUGAUGACUCAGCAGGAGAGUUUCAGUCACGGUCACAUUGAUUAAUAAAGUUGUCCAAUCCAAUCCACCUUUAUUUGUUAAGCACUUUAAAAACAACCAAAGUGCUGUACAGGAGAAUAAAUAAGACAAAUCACAAAAGUAAACAGUGAUGGUGAUGAUGAAGACCACUGCUUUGUUGUUGUGUUUUAUUCUAAUUGCCACAAACUUAUUAUAAUGAUUAUAUAUAUAUAAUUACUAUAUAUACUAUAUGUUUGUUAAUGUGACUCAUAUUGAGGUGUUAAAAAUGGCACUACGUUUCAUUUCUCAUUAAAUGUUGAUAUUUUUACUUUUGGUUCUGUAAAAUAAUUCUCAUUUCUAUAUUUUUAUUUUCAUCUUAAAAUCAGUUCUAGAAGUGUAAUAAAGGUCAUUAUCUGUGAGAUUACAGUAAUUAUUGCUGUUUACACUGAUAACAACUGUAUUUGGACAGUUUACCAAUGCUUAUACACUGAUAAACAACAUUUAUUCAACUUCCAUCAUUAUACAACAUAUCUGUCUGUUAACUAACUAAUACAUUAAAAGAGAGGGAAGGAAAGGAGGAGGGAGGGAAGGGAAGGAGGAGAGAGUGAAGGAAAGGAGGAGGGAGGGAAGGAAAGAAGGAUGGAGGGAAGGAAAGGAGGAUGGAGGGAAGGAAAGGAGGAAAGAGUGAAGGAAACGUUGACGUGUUGUUAACCUGUUGUUGACGUGUUGUUGACGUGUUGUUAACGUGUUGUUAACCUGUUGUUGACGUGUUGUUAACCUGUUGUUGACGUGUUGUUGACGUGUUGUUGACGUGUUGUUAACCUGUUGUUGACGUGUUGUUAACAUGUUGUUAACGUGUUGUUAACCUGUUGUUGACGUGUUGUUGACGUGUUGUUAACAUGUUGUUGACGUGUUGUUAACCUGUUGUUGACGUGUUGUUAACAUAUUGUUGACGUGUUGUUGACGUGUUGUUAACCUGUUGUUGACGUGUUGUUAACAUGUUGUUAAUGUGUUGUU